ensembl:lncRNA
CAAAUUUUCAUAAUCUACCAUCAUGUCUAUUUCAGGAUUUCUAGAGGAUAGAGAACCUCUCUGAAGCCUUCAAGACAAUACGUCUGAGUGCAUCACAACAUAAAAUCUAUCGAUCUAUCACCCAUCUGCUCCUGCUAAUAUCCCACUGAAAAUGAAGAAUAUAUUCAGCUGCUUCUUCUAUACAGGCUGGCAGCGGAGGGGGAAGCAUCUGUUUUUGGAGAUCAUCGUCUCUCUGGAAGUUUUUAGUGAGCCUUUCCUUUGGAAUAAGAUUUGUUGUCUGUCAUGGCAGAAAUACAGUGUUUAUAUCUUGGAAGGAGUAUCAAUUACUAACAAAGAUGGUGAAGAAAGAGCACAAUUGUCCAUGACAAAUUACACCACAAACAGUACCAUAAUCUGGCAUGCUGAAUUCUCAUACUUCAGAGCUCAAAGAGAAGAAGAAUACAUAAAUUCCGGUGUGUUCUCUUUCUCUCUCUUGUUCCCCUUCCCUCUGUCCUUAAAGGAACUGUGUGACCAAAAGUGGUGGAGCCCAGCUCCCCCUCUCCUAGCCCCCAUUUAAGGGCUAACAGCCACUGAGGAAGGAUCCCUUCUUGGAAGUUGCUUCCUUUGGGAGUUUCUCUGCGAGCCUAGGAUGUGGAUGAGCUUUUUCAUUUAUUUUUGAUUAUCCCACCAAUAGGUCUGUGGCCUACGGAUAUUGUAGUCAACACUCUGAUCUCCCUUGCUAAAGGGACCCCCCCAUCAUGUCCCUAUGGCAGAUGAGGACACCCCCUCCGAUGACUGAUGUAGUUGAGCAGCUGCAGAAAUCUGGCCAAAGGGUACGGUACAGGCGGUUGGGGCAUGCCCCUGAACAGACUGUAGUGAUGACCCAAGAUGGAAAUAAAGCCUGUAUCUCACCCUGGAGGGUGGACCUUCUCCUGCUUGUACCCCUCAAACCUGGGUAUUAGUCUCUAUGAGUCUUCAAGCCUCUAGGAUGAUCGGAAGGAACAAAAUACCAUCAUAGCGUUCCUGUGAGAUCUUGUGUGACACCCAGUGAACCGUCUACAUUGGACUGAUGGAGCACAGGAUGGGCCUUAACGUCAAGACGACAUGCCUCCAGUAAUAACAUGAAGCACGGGCUCAUGAAAGAGCAUGAACAUACACUGUAUACUGAUUAUCACUCUUAUUAAAUAGUGUUAUCGUGACGGGCAAUGGUAUAGCGUUGUGGUGUGUCAGAUCUCUAUGUAUUAGGGAAGGCUAGAGCCUGGCUCCAAGUCUUCAAAAAUCCAUUAAAAGCCAUUUCAAAUAUGUGAAGAGCAUAUUUAUUGAACCCAUCCUUCCUUCAUCUUCAUCUUCAUCUUCAUCUUCAUCUUCAUCUUCAUCUUCAUCUUCAUCUUCAUCUUCAUCUUCAUCUUCAUCUUCAUCUUCAUCUUCAUCUUCAUCUUCAUCUUCAUCUUCAUCUUCAUCUUCAUCUUCAUCUUCAUCUUCA